CCCUGUGGCUCAGUUGGUAGAGCAUGGUGUUUGCAACGCCAGCAUGGUGUGUGCAACACCAGGGUUGUGGGUUCGAUUCCCACAGGGG
rfam:Salmo salar isolate Sally breed double haploid chromosome ssa14, whole genome shotgun sequence.